UUUAAAGAGCAGCAAAUAGGGAAAGUAAAAAAGGGGUUUUUAAAGCUAAGUUCUCAAAACGACAUAGUCCUUCCUCACAAAAGCCACUACACUCAACUCUCAAAACGACAUCCAUGCCCCCCUACUUUCCUCUUCUCGCAGAACCAGUGACCCAUGAUUUCUCAAACUUGAAUCAUCCCUCUCUUAGAUAGGGCAGUGGAGCUCCCCCAAAACCCACAAAUCUCUUCACUUAUAACCCCUAUUUCGAAUCUUUGCACCACAGAAAGGAUUCGUAUUGCCCUGUUUUCCUCAUUCACGACUUUGCUUCUAUCUAUAUCACCCGAAUCAAAUCAACAAAUUGAUCCCUCUAUACUGGACGCAACACUGAAUCUCUAUCAGAGUUGUCAUUCCGCCAACCAUUACUAGAGGCAGACGAAGCACUGGGGAUUGUUUAAAUUUCCACUCCUUUUCUUCUUACUCAGAUUAUUUCUUCUCUCCAGGUUUUAGCUGAAAAAGACCUGGAAAAGGAUAGGGUAAACUGAGUCAAGGCCUAGAGGCGACUCGCAUCAGAUGGGGAAAAGGACAUAGCAACAGAGUGAGCUGCUACAGUAAUAGGAGAGCACAACUUGAAGAUUUUUGUACGGGAAGUAGAAAUUCUGGAAAACGGAAUGGAAGAGGGAGGUCAUUCCGUAGAAUAAUC